rnacentral:misc_RNA from 1 species
AACAGGGCUUGGUGGUCCAGGUGCGGGGGAGCCGUGGGACGGAAGGAUUAUGGCUGAACAGCAGUUCUGCCUACGGUGGAACAACUUCCAGGCCAAUAUUGUAUCAUCAUUUGAAGCUCUUCUAGACAGAGAAGAAUUUGUAGACGUAACACUUACAGCAGAAGGGAAGUCAUUAAAAGCACACAGGGUACUCUUAUCAGCAUGCAGUCCGUACUUCAGAGACUUGUUUCGAGACAUACCGGCUCAUCAGCAUCCAGUCAUAGUGUUGCGUGAUACAAGUUUUUUAGAAUUAAAAUCCUUAUUGAGCUUCAUAUACCAUGGAGAAGUUAAUGUAUCUCAAGAAAGAUUGGGGCUCCUUCUCAAAACAGCUGAGGCACUUAGAAUUAAAGGACUUGCUCAAGACAAGAGAACUAACGAUAUUGAACAGUUUGGAAGCCUUAGCAGUAGUCCCGAGAAGGAGCCAGAAGAGAGCCUGGACAGAGGGGAGUGUCGUGGAGGGGGGCCUGGAUCUCCUGCUUUAAGUCUUGCCUUCUCUGGGGUAGGCGGGUCGGUCCUGGCCUCCGUCAAUCCUCUCGUUCCCCUGGAGCCACCAAGCCACAAGCCACCGCACCUUUUGCAUUCACCACCGGCAAAGCGUCGCAAGCCUCUCCAUUCACCACUCGGAGGGCCUCCUAUACCCACACCACCAAUUCAACGAGAGAAUUCCAUUUCACAAGCGCCGCCUGUUACCUCCACUGCCUCAUUUGACGAUGAUAAAUCUGGUAGAGUAAUCAACUUGACUAUGGGUGCCAACAACUCUGGCAGUGGAGGUUCGCCCUCUCCAAGGCUAAUACCCAAGACUGAAUUAAAUUUAUCCGAGGAGGACGGGCCAGGUAGAGGCAGCAGUGGUGGUGGGGGGGAGGGCAGUAGUGACCAUGAGGUCGAGGAGCCGCACGAAGACGACUCCGUAGACCACGAAUUGUCUAAUACCACGGCUCCCGACCUGCAUGGACUGCCACAACACCUCUCAGCAGCAGUACAAAACUUUGUGCCAUACGCAGCAGCAGCAGCAGCAGCAGUAGGAUCCUCGCAGCUGGAGACCUUCCCGGGGCCAUCAGGAAGAAUGAUGCUAGCGGCUGCUAAUGGAGUGUUACCUCCCGCUAGUCAGGCAGGGUGGAGAGGAGGCCAUACAGAACCCAGUGACACCUCAGCUCAAGGUCACACCAACAAACCUGCAUGCUACAUCUGUGGGAAGGUGAUUUCUAAUUUGCAAAACCUAUACAAACACAUCCGGACAAUUCACCAGCGUCAGGUGUCGCGCUGUGAUUGCUGUGGUUCAGUGUUUCGUAAUGCCGAAUCGGCCCGAAAGCACGUGCUGAAAAUGCACCGAAAUGAUCUCAGCCAAGGCCGUGGGCUGUCCAUGUUGGAGCCGGUGGUCAGUGGCAGUUGGACUCCCUCCACAUGUACCAAUACAACCACCACCACCACCACUACCACCACCACCACCACCUUCAUCUCCUCACCAGUUUUAGAACCGCUACAACAGCAUUCCAUCAAGACUGAGGACCUUACUUAGUAGGCUCUACUCAAAUAUUUGCUUGGUAUCUUCCUGCUUGUGCUUAGUGAACUUGUCUGAAAGUUUAGUUCCCAAACACUUGUUACCAUUUGUAUGUUUUUUAGAAAAAAAAAUAAUGUAUAUAGAAAUUUCUAUGAAUGUUAACUAUUGUGAUGUCUUAUCUUGAAUGUCAGGUUAAUGAAAUUAUAGGAAGAGGAUCACGUACUACUAAUACCUGAAGAUUAAUGGAUCUUACCUGAAUAGCAGUUAGCCAGCUUACUCUCCUGUUAGCUGCCAGUGUGAUAUGUUUGUAGUAUGAUGAUUAGACCCAUUAAAGGUGGUCAUCCUGUAUUUAAUGAAUUGUUGUGCGGUGACGGUGGUUACGGGGGAAAGAAGGCGGUACCCACGCCUUGUCCCGUGUGCGGCAAAGUUCUCUCCAACGCGUACAAUAUGCGCGUUCAUC